rnacentral:rRNA from 1 species
GACGAACGCUGGCGGCGUGCUUAACACAUGCAAGUCGAACGAAGUGGCGCACGGGUGAGUAACGCGUAAUCAACCUGCCCUUCCGAGGGGGACAACAGUUGGAAACGACUGCUAAUCCCGCAUACUGACGGUGGGGAUUCCGUCUGAUUAGCUAGUUGGAGGGGUAACGGCCCACCAAGGCGAUGCUCAGUAGCCGGUCUGAGGAGGUGGACGGCCACAUUGGGACUGAGACACGGCCCAGACUCCUACGGGAGGCAGCAGUUGGGGAUCUUCCGGAAUGGACGAAAGUCUGACGGAGCAACGCCGCGGGAGUGAUGACGGCCUUCGGGUUGUAAAGCUCUGUUAAUCGGGACGCGGUACCGGAAUAGAAAGCCACGGCUAACUACGUGCCAGCAGCCGCGGUAAUUC